GGGUGCUUGGGAGAAGCUGAGUGUGAGCACAUAGUGUGAGUUUGCAGCCCAGGAGGAGUCUGCUGGUGUCUGCAGGGGUGUGCAAGCAUCUGUAGAAGUCUGUCCAGGGAGCUGAGUUGCUUUACCCAAAAUCAAGUUGGAGAGAUGUGUGGAGCCUCAGCCACAAACCCUGACUGUUGGGGGAUGCUUUGAUAGCAGAAUGGAGAGCUGUUGGAAACCCAGUUCCUCCUUGCAAGUGGUUCAGAAUGGGAUUCCCUUUGGAAAAUGAGGACAGAAACAUCUCUCUGAGAACAAAGAUUAUGGAGGGAAAACUGAGGUGACUUGAGAGCAGAGAAGUGAUAUUUUGGGGAAAAAAGCUGAACAGGUCUAUUGGGAAGAAAAUGAAAACUCUGGAGGAACUAUUUGAGGUAAACACGAGGACACAGAUGACAUUUCAUAGGGAAAAAAGUGAGUUAGUCUCUAGGGGAUAAAAAUGAAGAUUGUAGGAGGGAAAAGCUGAGGUCAUUGGGUGGGACAGAGCUGACAUUAUUCAUGGAAAAACUUAAGGUAAUCCAUAGGGGAGACCAUGACCAUUUUGGAGGGAAAUCCUGAGGUAAGAGAGGGAAAGUGGGUAACAUUUUAGAAGAGAGACCUAAGGCACUGUCUGUGAGACAAGAUACUCUUGUGUUACCACAGUUAUAGUCAGAGGCAAGUCCUUUUGCCCAGAGUGCCUUGCCCGUCUCCUGUUCUCCAGCCUGAUGCCAAUCCUCUUUGUGACACCUCUUCCUUCGCUGUUCCAUACCACACCUCUUCCACUAUCAGUGCCAGCUGCUGCCAAAGAAGGAGGACAGACUUAGGCUUCAGUAACACCUCCUUCUUCAUGCCCGAGUUAAACAGGGACCUCCCCAGGGGCACCACCCCUGGUCCAAGUGCCUUUGUGCUCAGCUGGCAGCCUGUGUGGGGUGCCCGCCCCCUUAGCAGGGUGCAGGUGUAGAUGCCCCUAAAAUGGAGAGAAGGAGCCUCCCGAGGCCUCCCUGAGCACCACACAGUCUGGCAAGGCCAAGUCUGACCCUCUUCUCUCCUGCUCCGGGAUAAGGAUGGCUGGUCCAAUGGUGGCUGCCCACAGCUUGCUCCCUCUCCUGGGAAGAGGUGUGUGUAUGCCCCCCCGCCCCUUACCUCAGCGUGCGUGUGCUUGUGUGCCUGAGUGUGCUUGUCGUGUAGGUUGCUGUGAAAAGUGCUGCAGCUUAGCCUAGGCUUCCCAGGAGGGCAGUAACAGGGGAGCCUCCUUGGAGUGCCUGAGCAGAAUGGGAGCUCAACUUGCCCCUCCUUGUUCUCUAGAAACACAGCAAAGGCUGUGCAGUUCAGGGCCUGGAUCUCUGCCUCUGUGGCAGCCUGUCCUGUUGUCAACAUGGCAGUGCAACAGCCCUGUAGUCGGGGCCUGUGUGAUGAGUUGUGGAGCCUUCUGUCCCUGUGUGUCACCAGGAGCAGCCCGAGGUCCCUGUAAGCAGGGCCUAGGAGGCUGUUUUAGGCAGCUAACAGGAGCGCUCCUUCCUAGGCCCUUAGAGGGUUGAGGUGGCUCCCUGGGCUUCUGAAGAGGUGUUCUGUGCUGCAGCCAGGAGGGCUGGCCCGGAAGUUGGGCGCAGGCCAGAGCCCGUGGCUCUGUAGGCAUUUUUGGGAGAGCCGAGGUGAGAGCGGCCGCCCUGUAAGUAGGGCUGUGCAUUGCAGUGCCCGGCGGGAGGUUGAAGGAGGGAACCCCCCUGUAAUCAGGGUGGAUAUGC